rnacentral:lncRNA from 1 species
ACUGGAUUGUGCAAACACACCCCUAAUGAUUCCCACGGAUCACGCAACUGGAAUGAGAUGGGCUGCUGGAAGCAGCAGUUACUGAGAUCUGGCACUGGUCCUCUCUGAUUGUGUGGGACACGUGAUGCAGAGGAAUGUAAUGAAAGAUGCAGGAAGCUUAUGACACUUUUGCCUGGUUGGGACCCAUACAUGGAACACAGUCCAGAUCUGGCUCCAAAGAGCUUUCAGCAUCAAUCAACAAGACAAUGUGAAGAAGAGGAGGAGGAGAGAGGCAGUGUUACUUGCCCAAAUAUUAACUCAACAGGAAAAGUACAAGUGCUGCGCUCCUAUUCCUAUGGAUUUCAUAACGUGCAAAGCUUCAAUGGGCACCAGAGGUCCUGGAUUUAGCCAUCUUCACCUGCCUGGCUUGGAGGGGAAGAAUUCUUUCCCCGUGCUGUGGGGAUUUAGACACAUUGCUUUUCUGGCUCCACUUCAGCAACAAGCUCAGUGCUCAACAGCUGAUUUCCCUCUUCCUCCCGGGCCGCGUCUUGUGCGCGUUCACAUCACAUGGUGCUGCUGAUCUGUUUUCCUUUCUGCGUCCUGCUGAAGUAAAUGCCUAAAGAAUUAUUGUAUUAAUGACCUUGGACACUGCUAGAUAAGGAAACUAAAAACCCUGUGUCCAACUAAGAGGUGCCAGGUGUCUUUCCUCCACGUUCAGUGGCUGGUAAGGAUGCUGCCCACCGCAAAACUGCUCAUGCUGGGGACUGAAGGGGUAGGAGAAUUUUUUCCCUUCUUCAGCUGUGUGUCUGUUUACCUUCUUUGCAAUGGAUGGGACAACGAAUGGGAAAACCCAGCUGUGUUUUCACUCCAGGGGCAGCUGAAAAGGUUUGGUCCUCCCAGGAAGCAAAAGCUGGGUUCUGUGGAGGGUUUGGGCAUAUUAAUCAGAAGUGAGAGUGUCAUUCCCCAACAUUAUUCUACCAGAGGAAACAUGGAUGAGAAACAGUCUGUGUGCAACUCCCAGGUGCAGAUGGAGGAGUCAGUUGUUACGUGCUACUCUGCUCGGUGGAUACGCGCCUGGCUACAAGAAAAGGAAGAAGUGUGAAUCAUCUCUCAGAUGACCACAAGCCAUAGGAGAACAAGCUGUAUGAACAGAAAUGAGUGGAACAAGAUGUACCUGUCCAUGGCAGAGGUAAGGAUGCUACUGAGAAGUGGGAUGUGGGAGCUACUGAGAUGUGACAACUUAGUGGAAUAUUUUGUCUGUGUGGAUGGACUGAAAAGCUAUACUUUAGAAAGCAGUCUGGAACACGUGGCAGAAAUGCGUGUUGGCUUUUGACGCAUCUGAUGUAAAUUAAGUCAUGAAUGAGC